GAGAAGGUGGCUGAGUGGUUAAGGCUAUGGCUUGUUAAUCUAUUAGACUCUGCACCUAUGGGUUCAAAUCCCAUCCUCAUCA
rnacentral:tRNA from 1 species